CGGAGAGCUGGAGAAUUUGUCAAUUUCACGGGCUGGUCGAUUUCAGUCCGUGUGAGUUUCUGUCCUGGGUUUGUAUCACUGAAUGUGCCAGGAAACAUGAAAACAGAAGAGACUCCCACGUGUCUGAAACAACAAACACUCGAUCCCGGCUCAGAGCAGGAACCAGACCAGAUGUGUGCGGGCUGCAAAGUUCCCAUCACUGACCGCUAUCUCCUA